AUACGGAGGGGACUAGCGUUGUUCGGAUUUACUGGGCGUAAAGCGCGCGUAGGCGGUUUGGAAAGUCAGAUGUGAAAUCCCAGGGCUCAACCCUGGAACUGCAUUUGAAACUAUCAGACUAGAGAUUAGGAGAGGUAAGUGGAAUUCCGAGUGUAGAGGUGAAAUUCGUAGAUAUUCGGAGGAACACCAGAGGCGAAGGCGACUUACUGGACCAAUACUGACGCUGAGGUGCGAAAGCGUGGGGAGCAAACAGGAUUAGAAACCCUAGUAGUCC
rnacentral:rRNA from 1 species